rnacentral:rRNA from 1 species
AUUGAACGCUGGCGGCAUGCCUUACACAUGCAAGUCGAACGGCAGCACGGGAGCAAUCCUGGUGGCGAGUGGCGAACGGGUGAGUAAAGUAUCGGAACGUGCCCAGUCGUGGGGGAUAACGUAGCGAAAGUUACGCUAAUACCGCAUACGAUCUAUGGAUGAAAGCGGGGGAUCGCAAGACCUCGCGCGAUUGGAGCGGCCGAUAUCAGAUUAGGUAGUUGGUGGGGUAAAGGCUCACCGAGCCGACGAUCUGUAGCUGGUCUGAGAGGACGACCAGCCACACUGGGACUGAGAGACGGCCCAGACUCCUACGGGAGGCAGCAGUGGGGAAUUUUGGACAAUGGGCGAAAGCCUGAUCCAGCCAUGCCGCGUGCAGGAUGAAGGCCUUCGGGUUGUAAACUGCUUUUGUACGGAACGAAAAGGUUUGGGCUAAUAAGCUGAGCUCAUGACGGUACCGUAAGAAUAAGCACCGGCUAACUACGUGCCAGCCGCCGCCGUAA